UAAAAGUUUUUUAGCUUUAGGGUUCUAAAAAAUCUAGGGUAAGAUGCAAGUUUUGGCGAGAAAAAAGGGAUAUUUUGAUAAUAUGGAAGAAAUGAUUGGGCAGUUUCUAAUAUUAAAUAUUCGGGGGGCCGAGAUAUAGAAGGGGUUUUUAGUAUAAACAAAAUUUGUGCCAGCAGUUGCGGUUACACAAAUUAUGCAAUAGAAUUUUACUGGGUAUAGUUAAACAAAGGGCAAAAAGGUUUAAUUAUAUUUUAUUGGGUGAAAUCUUAAAAUAUAGAGGGCUUAUAUUUAUGAGGUUGAGGCUAGGAAAUUUUAUUAAAAACUAGGAUUAGAUACCCUAUUAUAAAAAUUAAAAUUGUAAACCUAAAUUAUUAGUAGUUAAGUUCUUGAAAAUUAAUAAAGAUGGCGGUAUUUUAGUCUAUUCAGAGGAAUCUGUCCUGUAAUUGAUAUUCCACGAUUAAAGUUACUUAAAUUUUUAGCUUACAUAUCGCUGUGGUUUGAAUAUUUCUAUUGAAUUUAAAUAUUCAUGAGUUUUAAGAAAAGGAUAUCAAGUCAAGAUGUAGCUUAUAUUUAAGAAGAGAUGGAUUACAUUAAUAUUAUUGAUGGUUAGGGAGUUGAAAAAAUUCUAUAAAAUGGAUUUGAAAGUAAUUUUUUACGAAUAUUUGAAAAAUGAUUUUAGCUCUAAAAUAUGUACAUAUCGCCCGUCGCUUUCACCUUAAAGUGGAAUAAGUCGUAACAUAGUAGAUGUACUGGAAAGUGUCUCUAGAAGACA
rnacentral:ncRNA from 1 species